GAUAAUUGUUGAUUUACAGAAGUUGGGAAGGGCUCUUGGAGCCAUUUCUAAACAGCUGCAGAUUCCAAGAUCAUCAGUACAAACAACUGUACAUAAGUACGAGUUAUUGCAAGGUGGAGCAACUUUGUAA